UUUCGAAUCUCAGCUUGGUAGGGAUACCCGCUGAAUUUAAGCAUAUAAUUAAGCGGAGGAAAAGAAAAUAACCAUGAUUCCCUCAGUAAGGGCGACUGAAGCGGGAAGAGCUCAUUCUGUGAAUCUGCACCCUGUGGUGCCGAGUUGUGGAAUGGAGAAGCACGUCAGCUGCAGACCCCGGUCCAAGUCUUCUGGAAAGGAGCGCUUGAAAGGGUGACAGCCCCGUAUCUGGCUGGGUGUCUGUGGCAUUAGCAUGUGCCUUCGACGAGUCGAGUUGCUUGGGAUUGCAGCUCUAAGUGGGUGGUAAAUUCCAUCUAAAGCUAAAUAUCGGUGGGAG
rnacentral:rRNA from 1 species